AUUGAACGCUGGCGGCAGGCCUAACACAUGCAAGUCGAGCGGAUGAGGGGAGCUUGCGCCUGGAUUCAGCGGCGGACGGGUGAGUAAUGCCUAGGAAUCUGCUUGGCAGUGGGGGAUAACGUCUGGAAACGGGCGCUAAUACCGCAGACGUCCUGCGGGAGAAGGAGGGGGAGCUUCGGACCGCACGCUAUCAGAUGAGCCUAGGUCGGAUUAGCUAGUUGGUGGGGUAAAGGCCUACCAAGGCGGCGAUCCGUAACUGGUCUGAGAGGCUGAUCAGUCACACUGGAGCUGGGACACCGUCCAGACUCCUACGGGAGGCAGCAGUGGGGAAUAUUGGACAAUGGGCGGAAGCCUGAUCCAGCCAUGCCGCGUGUGUGAAGAAGGUCUUCGGAUUGUAAAGCACUUUAAGUUGGGAGGAACGGCAGUAAGUUAAUACCUUGCUGUUUUGACGUUACCAACAGAAUAAGCACCGGCUAACUUCGUG
rnacentral:rRNA from 1 species